GACGAACGCUGGCGGCGUGCUUAACACAUGCAAGUCGAACGGAAAGGCCCCUUCGGGGGUACUCGAGUGGCGAACGGGUGAGUAACACGUGAGUAACCUGCCCUUGCCUUCGGGAUAACUUCAGGAAGCUGGGGCUAAUACCGGAUAGGAAUCCUUGCUGCAUGGUGGGGGUUGGAAAGCUUCGGCGGUUUUGGAUGGACUCGCGGCUUAUCAGCUUGUUGGUGGGGUAGUGGCUUACCAAGGCUUUGACGGGUAGCCGGCCUGAGAGGGCGACCGGCCACAUUGGGACUGAGAUACGGCCCAGACUCCUACGGGAGGCAGCAGUGGGGAAGAUUGCACAAUGGGCGGAAGCCUGAUGCAGCAACGCCGCGUGCGGGAUGACGGCCUUCGGGUUGUAAACCGCUUUCAGCAGGGGCGAAGCUUGUGGUGACGGUACCUGCAGAAGAAGCACCGGCUAACUACGUG
rnacentral:rRNA from 1 species